CUUCAUUAUUCUGGGUUAUUUUCUCUAUUAAAUAGGAAUAACACUUGCAUUAUCUACUUCAUAGGUUUCCUGGGAGAAAAUGGCUUUGUAAAUUGUGAUACCUCCAAUGAGUUCUUCAAGGGUUAAGGUUUUGCAUUGGGACAAUGACCACCCACCUCAAAGAAGGUCACAAAUCCUUAUAACUUAAUUGUCUUCAAGAGUUUCUGUAACCAACAACUCCAUUACCAUGUUCCUGACCUGGAAGUGAGUCUCUCCAAACUCAGAAGCAGCGUGGUGUGGAAAGAUCACAGGAUUUGGAGCCAGAAAGCCCCAGGUUUGAAUCUUGCCUCUGCUACUUGCUACCUAAAUAGCCACAAGCCACCUCUCUGGAACUCUGCUUCAUUCCUUUCAAAAUAAAGGGAUUGAACUAGAUGAUGGUGUGGAAAUUUAAUACUAC
rnacentral:lncRNA from 1 species